UGAGGAAUAUUGCGCAAUGGAGGAAACUCUGACGCAGCGACGCCGCGUGAAGGAUGAAUGCCCUCUGGGUUGUAAACUUCUGUAGAGAGGGAAGAAUGUCCGCCUUCGGCGGAUUGACGGUACCUCUAAAGUAAGCAUCGGCUAACUACGUGCCAGCAGCCGCGGUAAUACGUAGGAUGCGAGCGUUGUCCGGAUUCACUGGGUGUAAAGCGCGUGCAGGCGGUCUCUUAAGUCUGGUGUGAAAGCCCGGGGCUCACCCCCGGAAGGGCACUGGAGACUGGGAGGCUAGAGUACCGGAGAGGAAGGUGGAAUUCCUGGUGUAGCGGUGAAAUGCGUAGAUAUCAGGAGGAACACCGGUGGCGAAGGCGGCCUUCUGGACGGCUACUGACGCUGAGACGCGAAAGCGUGGGGAGCAAACA
rnacentral:rRNA from 1 species